CUAACCUGUUUGAAUAAAGGAAUCUGACUUGGUCUUUUCCUCUUUAGCAUUAUGGAUUAGGUCUUUCUCUUUACCAUAUUUCGUGGAUGAAGUUUAAGAAGUAAUCAAAAUAUAAAGGUUAAUGCUAACUGCUAAGCUUAUUUCGAAGAUGAAAGAUACUUUUAUCCACUCCCCAAAGAAUAUCAUUACUAUUUAUGUUGUAUUUCUGCUAACUAAUUCUUGCAUAGCAUCUAGUUUGAUAAUUAAAGUAAAGUUUCUGACAUGGAGGUUUUCAAGUUGUAAUAUAUAUUUAUGUUUUAGGUAGAUUCCCAAACUUUGAAGAAACAUUGCAGUACUGAGGUAAAUGAACGUUGUAUGACAGAGCAUCGGGCUUACCGAAGCCAAGGUAUCUUCUUCGAUAACAAGGUUCAUAAUUGCAUUACUUGUGCUACAAGCACUCGUAAACACACCCCUUGUGCUUUGGCUAUUGUUUGAGAUUCUGCACAUUUCAGAUGUUGAGGUACGAGAGACCAAGAUGAUGGGAAGCACUCCCAUUAUCAUUGUAGCUUUCCAAACGCAACAGGUUUACUGUGUACGUGAUGCAAAUGGAUCAAUUAGAGAAGGCGGUAAGAGCAGAAGACAUGCAUCAAAAACCAAGGAGAGAGUAAAGAUCGUGCAAAACUAUAAGCAAGAAGAGGAAAAGGGAGCAUGCGAUCUUUUUAUAUUUUCUCUUCUAUAUGGUACUAUUUAAGAAAAGAUAAAUUCAAGAGAUAAGAAUAUGUAAAACUUUUAUUAUAUAUGUGUGUAUGGCUGCUAUUAUUGUAAAAAUAAAAAUAUGCUUUCAAUUGUUUAACUAACAAAAAUUUCAGCAAGGUUCAACUAAAGUUCCUA